rnacentral:misc_RNA from 1 species
GAUGAAGAACGUAGCGAAAUGCGAUAAGUAAUGUGAAUUGCAGAAUUCAGUGAAUCAUCGAAUCUUUGAACGCACAUUGCGCCCCCUGGUAUUCCGGGGGGCAUGCCUGUCCGAGCGUCAUUACAACCCUCAAGCUCAGCUUGGUAUUGGGCCCCGCCGACCCGGCGGGCCCUAAAGUCAGUGGCGGUGCCGUCCGGCUCCGAGCGUAGUAAUUCUUCUCGCUCUGGAGGUCCGGUCGCGUGCUCGCCAGCAACCCCCAAUUUUUUUCAGGUUGACCUCGGAUCAGGUAGGGAUACCCGCUGAACUUAAGCAUAUCAAUAAGCGGAGGA